AUUGAACGCUGGCGGCGUGCUUAACACAUGCAAGUCGAGCGGUAACAGGUGUAGCAAUACAUGCUGACGAGCGGCGAACGGGUGAGUAAUGCUUCGGAAUCUUCCUCGUAGUGGGGAACAACCUGGGGAAACUCAGGCUAAUACCGCAUACGAACUACGGUUGAAAGCAGGGGAUCGCAAGACCUUGCGCUAUGAGAUGAGCCGAAGUCGGAUUAGCUAGUUGGUGAGGUAAAGGCUCACCAAGGCGACGAUCCGUAGCUGGUCUGAGAGGACGACCAGCCACACUGGGACUGAGACACGGCCCAGGCUCCUACGGGAGGCAGCAGUGGGGAAUAUUGGACAAUGGGCGCAAGCCUGAUCCAGCGACGCCGCGUGUGUGAAGAAGGCCUGCGGGUUGUAAAGCACUUUAGUGGGAUGAAAGCCAAGGGCUAAUACCCUUUGGUCUUGACCUAACCCAAAGAAAAGCACCGGCUAACUCUGUGCCAG
rnacentral:rRNA from 1 species